CUUCUCCGCCCGCUCGCAGGAGCGGCGCCGACGGAGCCACGUGCUCCCCGCCGAGCCGCCGCCCAGAGAGAGGUCAAGCUGAACUAGGACACCUCAGGCCACAAGAGAGGUCUUGGUGUUCAGGACUCCUGCUCUUUCUGUCUGUCAGGCCAUUGAGACACCCCUGGGUUCUAUCUGUGCAUCACCUAAGGGAUUUCUCAGACUUUAGGGGCCUGAGAAGAGAAGGGAAGGGGGAUUCAGAUUUUUGGUGCUCUGUCAACCGCAGAAUGCUUGCCAAGCUGCAAAAGAAGAGAGCCAUCUUUUCCCACACCCACCAAUCACCAUAAUAGGCAUGGUCUUUGCAAACUGUUUUAUAACAAAUGUGGAUAAAGACUCUGGAGAUGGCAGUGGCCAGUGUCAGAUAUGUUGCAGUGAGCUAUGGCAGCUGUGUUGAGAACGUGAGGGGGUGUACCUGAGAAUAAACUGAGGACAGCAGAACAGAAAAGUGGAAAGAACCUGGCUCCUUGAUUACAUUUUUGAGCCUUUGAACUAGUCAACUCUGGAGUCCCCUUGUUUCUCACAUUUUAAUGAAAGGUAAUACAAUUUUCCUAUUAUUUAAAAUACAUUCGGUUCUCUUUUCUGUUUCUUAAGCC